CUGGGGGCUGCGUUCGACUCCAAAUGAUUUGAGAAGGGGGGGACCUCUGUGCUCAAUGGAUUUAGUGCAAGUAAAUUAAUUCUAGUGGACCCAUUACACACAGAGCCCCCUUUUCAAAGCUCUGAGCCUCCUCGCCUGCUCUGUAGCAAUGAGAAAGAGAAAGAGAAAGGCAGAUUACUGCAAACAGAAAUAAAAAAAAGGGUAUGAAAGGGAGAAAAGAGGCCUUGAAGCCUUUCAUAUCAUUUGAGUUUUUCAAGUGCGUUAUUUUUGGGGAGGGUGGAUGUAUGAAAAGCCAAUUGGAGUUUUUUUUGUUUUAAAGUGCGCUAUUUAAGCACCAUGAAUAUAAGCGCAAGAGCAACAGUUGACUGAGUUUACUGUGGUGAAGCUUUGUGUCCGAGGAUGAAUCAAAUUCAUUAUAUUCAACUCUUUGUGGUUUAACAUGAAUGUAGGGUUAGUUUCACAAGACUGUGUCUGUUUAGGAUAAUUAUAAUUUAAUAUUUUCCUUUCAUAAAGUUAUCACUGUAGAUGUCUAAAAUUUUAAUCAAAGCAGAUUUUGUACAUUGACUUUGAAGCACCCUGACAGUUUAAAAUUCAAAGGAAAGCUUUUUUAGUUUUCAAAAGAAAAGAGAGGCUCAUUCUAAUGGCAUUGAAGCAGAGAUUAUUAUAACUAAUUAGAAGUCACACAUCUGUUAGCUUUUGGUUUGUGAUUUAUUUACGUAUUUGUGAGUAAAACACAUACUUUUAAAAUACAUUGCCAUUAUAGUGAAUUAAAAUGAUAAAAUACGCUUUCAAAGGAACUAUUUACUUAAUUAUUUUUAUAAAUUUCUAGAGUUGCAUAAAAUAUAUAAUUAAAUAAGGGAAUAUCGAAUAUGAAUCAAUAUCACAAUUACGCACCUUAAGCUGAACUGUAUUUUCAAACAAAAUAUAUUCACAGUUUUGUUAAUAUAAUUCUGGUUUACUAAGUAGUCAUGUAAUACUAACUAAUGUAGCUUUCUUUUAUAUUUAUAGUUAUUCCUUAAAUUUAAAGCUGUUCAUCUACAAUACUGUAAUUUUAAAUGCUAUCAGUGUAAAUGUUUUCUUAUGACAAUGUACGUAGCUAAUAUAUAAAUGAUCACAUUUAAAAAAAUAUGUGCCCUUUGUUUUUCUUUUGAUGAGAUAACGUCAUAAACAACUCUAAACUUAAGCAAGUCACUCAUUUUUUUUUUCAUAGUGUAUUUUAAUGGCACAGAUUAUCUUUGUUAACCCCAUGUUACCAAUAUUCUUAUUUGAAUUCUUUCCAAUAAUAGCUAAUAAUUAAUUAAUAAUUAAGAUAACAAAAUCGUAUUAGGAGUAUAAUUAUAAAUGUUUCAUAGUAAAGUUUGUAAUGCUUUCAUAUACAUGGCAUUUAUAUUUGAGUAGACAUAAUAUACUGGUAAGUAUGCCUUUUAUGUUUGCUUAGAAAUAUAUGCUGAGAAAAUAAGUUAUAAAAAUGUAAAACUAACUACAGAAAUUUUUAUUUUUCAGAACCACAAAAAUUGUUAUUUUCAGACUUUUAUCUGAAGAGUACUUUGGAACUUGAAAUAAACUAUUACUGUGUUCAUUUCUUUGGGAUUUUAUAUUGAAAUUAUAUUUGGAGGAUGGAGCAAGAUAAAAGGGAAUUCCUUCAAACAUUCCACCAACAAAUAUCCAGUGAAAUUUGUAAACAAUAAGGUGUUAAUGAAUUGGUAUCCUUGGGGAGAAAAUAUUUCAAGAAAAAAUAGAUUAGGAAAAAAGGGAACAAAAUUAAAAUAAAUGAAAUGUAACUGCAUUUUUUUUUUAAUUGUAGAGAGUGAAGAACUGGUGUUAGAACCAGAACCUCAGUUAGUAGAAGUUGUUUGAUCAUGACUGUAUAGUCAUUUGCUUAGCUGGAGCCUCUUCUCUGACUUAACAGAGUCAGUGCUUGAAUAAAUAAAUAAACGAAUAAUUUAUUUCAGUAUUAAACUAUUAUCCCUAGGUCCCCAAAUGUCACAUACACGAGUACUAAGGUUGGGUAUGGCUGCAAAUUUCAUCAUGGCCCUCUGUAGCACCAUAUUAUCUUUUAACAUUUAAGUAUUCUCCAGCCAUCUAGUAAGUAAUAUCCCAUUCAUUGGUCUUCCUUUUGCAAAAACAAAGAACCAAAUAAACAACAAGCAAGGAUUAAAGGAUUGGUAAAUGAAUAUAAAAUGUUCAUAAACACAGUGGAUUAAGUCAAUGUAUAUUAAGGUAAUUCUAAUUAUAGAAAAUAAUUUUCAUAUUUAUCAUUCUAAGCCAAAAAUUAUUUGGACCCAACCUCCUAAAAUAUCAAGCUAUGGUAUUUUUCUUUCAUCUAAUAUGGCAUAGCACUGUGUAGUCAAAGAAUUAUCUUUUUGAAACAUUAUCCUUUUGGUGAAUGUACUUUGACGAAAAUUCUGUUACUUAGUUUGUAGUUUUAUUACCUUCAAUAUAACCGAUCUCUUCUUCUUCUUCUUUUUUUUUUAAAGAAAAAAAAUAAAGGACUUUAAAAGCUCACAGCAAACAGUGUAUAAAUGACAAAUGUAUUCCUUGCUUUGUGGUCAUUGCGUGACCAGACAGUAGAGCACUGGAUUUUUCUGAGGUUUUACAGCUGCAAGGCAAAAGCAUCUGUUCAUUGCAAAGCCGUCAUUGUUUAAUUCUGACACUGACUUCUCCAUGCAUCUUGUACCAAGCGCUGGAUUAGAUGCCACCAGGAUAAAAUUUGUUUUAAGUUGCUCCUAAAGUGCAGCUGUCCCUGUAUGUGGCCUUGUAGCUUAACCAAAAUAGGCAGAUGCAGGAUCAAUCAGAAUCUUUGUACAAGGUCACUUGACCAGGCUAGAGAACCUCAGAGAAUGAAUGGGAAUGAUAUUAUUUAUUGUGAAUAAUUGUAAAACCACUUUCCAUGCUCAAUUAGUGAAUAUACAAGUGUCCUGACUAUAUGUGGGCAAUACAACCUUUAUUAAAUAUUUAACCUUUAAAAGUAGAUUAUAAUGGUUAAGUAUAUAUUAGCUGUUAUUUCCCCACAAUAAUUUGCAGGAGAAAGGGUUCAGUCUAUUGGACUCUAAAAUAGUAAUUGACUGAAAAUAAAACUCAUUCUAAAAUCACUCAGCUAAAUUUUUGAAAAGAGGACAUUUUUAUAGAAUGAUAAUUUUUCUUUAAUGUUUCAAGU
rnacentral:lncRNA from 1 species